CCUACGGGGGGCAGCAGUCAAGAAUCUUCCUCAAUGGGCGAAAGCCUGAAGGAGCAAUGCCGCGUGAUCGAUGAAGCUUUUCGGAGUGUAAAGAUCUUUUAUCAGGGACGAAUUCGUGACGGUACCUGAUGAAUAAGUCACUGCUAACUACGUGCCAGCAGCAGCGGUAAUACGUAGGUGGCGAGCGUUACCCGGAUUUAUUGGGCGUAAAGCGUCCGCAGACGGUUUGAAUAGUUCUUGGUUAAAUCUUGAGGCUCAACUUCAAGACCGCCAAGAAUACUUUUAGACUAGAGAUUGGGAGAGGCAAGCGGAAUUGUCGGUGUAGUAGUAGAAUACGUUGAUAUCGACAGGAACACCAAAAGCGAAGGCAGCUUGCUGGAACAAUUCUGACGUUCAGGGACGAAAGCGUGGGUAGCGAAUGGGAUUAGAUACCCCUGUAGUC
rnacentral:rRNA from 1 species